UUUUUUUUUUUUUUUUUUUUUCUCCUGGCUUUCUUACACUCACAUUCACACCAAUUCCAUUGGAAGGAAAUGAGAUAAACGAAAAGACCAAGAUACACGUGCAUCUGAUAUGUUCCUGAUAAAUCUGUAUGUAGUUUGCAAUUUUCUUUUCUGUUUUUUAACGGUCACAAGAAGUUUUUGGUUUUGUUUUUGAUUUUUAAUCUUUUUUUUUAUAGCUCAGAUUUCAUUCCCCUCCUGGACCACCUUCUGACUGUUCCAUAUCCCAUACCUUUCCCUAACCUCCCAUCUCCAUUAGGAUGUCCCCAGUCACAAGCCCCUGACCCAUCAGACCUCCCCACUCCCUGGGGCCUCAAGUCUCUUGAGGGUCAGUUAGGUGCAUCUUCUCUGACUGAGUCCAGACCCACCAGUCCUCUACUAUAUAUGUAGUGGGGGCCUCAUAUCAGCUGAUGCAGGCUGCUGGUUGGUGGUCCAGUGUUUGAGAUAUCUCAGGAGUUCAGGUUAGUUGAAACUGCUGGUCCUCCUACAGAGUUGCCCUCCUCACCUUCUUCCAGCUUUUCUCUAAUUCAACCACAGGAGUCAGCAGCUUCUGUCCAUUGGUUGGGUGCAAAUAUCUGCAUCUGACUCUUUCAGCUUCUUGUUGAGUCUUUCAGAGGGCAGUCAUGAUAGGACCCUGUUUGUAAGCACACCACAGCAUCAGUAAUAGUGUCAGGCCUUGGGGCCUCCCCCUAGGCUGGAAUCUAUUUUGGACCUGUAGCUGGACUUCAUUUUCCUCAGGCUCAUCUUCCUUUUUGUCUCUGCAGUUCUUUCAGACAGGAACAAUUAUGGGUCAGAGUUUUUGACUGUGGGUUGGCAACUCCAUCCCUCACUGGAUGCCCUGUCUUUCUCCUGGAGGUGGGUUCUACACGUUCCCUUUUCCCGCUGUUGGGCAUUUCAUCUAAGCUGCCUCCCUUUGAGUCCUGAGAUUCUCUCACCUCCCAGGUCUCUGGUACAUUCUGGAGGAUCCCUGCACCUCUUUCUUCCCAAGGUUGUUUGUUUCUAUUCUCUCUGAUAACCCCGAGGGCUUCUCCCCACCCCAAAUACCUGAUCAUAUCACCCCUUUCUCCUCCCAGUCCCCAUUCCCUCCCAGGUCCUUCCCUUCCUCCCCUCUCCUGUGAUUGUUUUCUUUCCCCUCCCAAGUGGGAUUGAGGUGUCCUCACUUGGGUCUUUUGACUUGUUAACAUUUUUUAGUUCUUUGGAUCAUAUCCUGGGUAUUCUGCACAUUUUUUGGGGGGGUGCUAAUAUCAACCUAUUAGUGAGUACAUACCAUGCAUGUCCUUUUGAGUCUGAGUCACCUCACUCAGAAUGAUUUUUCUAGUUCCAUCCAUUUGCCUGCAAAACACAGUAUGUCCUUACCCCUAAUAGCUGAGUAGUAUUCCGUUCUGUAAAUGAACCACAUUUUCUGUAUCCAUUUUUCUGUUGUGGGACUUCUGGGUUGUUUCCAGCUUCUGGCUAUCACAAACAAGUCCUCUGUGAACAUAGUGGAACAUGUACCCCUGUGUCAUGGUUGGAGCAUCUUUUGGGUAUAUACCCAAGAGUGGUACAGCUGAACCUUUAGGUAGAUCUAUUUCCAAUUUUCUGAGGAACCUCCAGAUUGAUUUUCCAGAGUGCUUGUACUAGUUUGCAAUCCCAACAGCAAUGGAGGAGUGUUCCUUUUCAGCACAUCCUUGCCAACAUGUGCUGUUAUCUGAGGUUUUGAUCUUAGCCAUUCAGAUUGGUGUAAGGUAGAAUCUCAGGGUUUUGAUUUACAUUUCCCUGAUCACUAAAGACUUUGAACAUUUCUUUAAGUGCUUCUCAGCCUUUCAAGAAUCCUCUGUUGGGAAUUCUCUCUUUAGUUCUGCACCCCAUUUUUUGAUUGGGUCGUUUGCUUUUUUGGUGGUUAGAUUCUUGCGUUCUUUAUAUUUUUUGGAUAUUAGCUCUCUAUCAGAUGUGGGGUUAGUGAAAAUUUUGUUUCCUAAUCUGUAGGUUAUGGAUUUUCCCUAUUGACUGUGUCCUUUGCCUACAGAAACUUUUCAGUUUCAUGAGGUCCCAUUUAUCAGUUCCUGAUCUUAGAGCAUAAGCCACUGGAGUUCUGUUUAGGAAAUUUCCCCUGUGCCAAUGGGUUCAAAGCUCUUUCCCACUUUCUGUUAUAUUAGAUUCAGUGUAUCUGGUUUUAUGUUCAGGUCCUUGAUGUACUGGGACUUGAGCUUUGUGUAAGGUGACAAAUAUGGAUCUAUUUUCAUCUUUCUACAUAUAGACUACCAGUUCAACCAGCACCAUUUUUUGAAGAUUUUUUUCCAUUGUAUAUUUUUGCUGUCUUUGUCAAAGAUCAAGGGUGCAUAAGUGUGUGGUUUUAUAUCUGGGUCUUCAGUUCUAUUCCAUUGAUCAAUGUGUCUGUCUCUAUACCACUAAUUUUAAUUAUUUUUGGUUGCAAGGUGUCUUACUCAAGGUUUUUAUUCCUGCACUAACAUCAUAACCAAGAAACAGUGGGGAGGAAAGGUUUAUGCAGCUUACACUUUCCACAUUACUCUCUGAAAACACUUCCCAGAAUAUUUCACCUCAAUGAUGCUGGUCUCUUCUUAAUCACAGCUAAUUUCUUAGCUCCAGCUAACCAGCAUCAAUAGUCCCAGUAAUGCAAGGUUUUCACUUUAGUAGUUCUGGUAUCUUGUUAAUCACAGCCAACUCUUCAGCCCCAGCUAACCAGAACCAUAGAAUCUUCACAAUCAAAUACCAAUGGCUCUGUGAAGAGUCUUUAAUCUUCCCUCUGAAAUUUCACAAGCCAGGCCUCCAUCUUCUGCACUGUUCUCAACAUUAUCUUCCAAACUCCUACAUAACAUUUGACAGAGCCCUUAACACGAAAUGGAUCUUCUAGCCCAAAGUUCCACUUUAUCAUAGAAAUACCCCACUCAGCUGGUACCAAUUUGCCUUAGUCAUGGUUUCUAUUCCUGGACAAAACAUAAUGACCAAGAAGCAGUUGGGGAGGAAAGGGUUUAUUCAUCUCACACUUUCCACAUUGCUGUUGAUCACCAAAGGAUGUCAGGACUGAAAUUCAAGCAAGCCAGUAAGUAACAUCCCUCCAUGGCCUCUGCAUCAGCUCCUGCUUCCUGACCUGCAAUUAUACAAAGGGCAUCCUACAUUUUCAGGUUUGGCCUGCCUUCCAAUCUCUUGUCAAAUUCAAGUUGCUAAAAUAAAAUAUACGGUGGGUCUUGGAUUCUUCAUUUAGACAUGUUUUAAGAAGUUUUGUAGACACACUCUAAACAGAAUGGAAAGUAACACCCACACACUGCAACUGAAGAAUUCCCGCUUCUAAGAAGAUAAAAGGAUAAAGGACCAGCAUCCACAGGAAGAGAACAUUCCUCAGUAACUUGGGACAAGUUUCCUGUACAUCGUAUAUUGAAAUUGAUUUACAAAUCCACAAAAAGGACUUUUAAUAAAAGCAGCUGACAAAAGAACUAUCAACGUCAUGGUAAAACAGCCGUAUCUGUUCAUACUAUUCUGUGGUAGAAGUCUGACAUAGAACCAUAGGAAAAUGCCCUUAUUGUUACAUUCUUGAACUUUGUAAAAUGAACAAACAAACAAACAGAAAAUCAACUUAUAGUCUAAUUGUUUCAAUUCUUACUAAAAUAAACAAAAGACUGAAAUG
rnacentral:lncRNA from 1 species